rnacentral:ncRNA from 1 species
CGGGCCGGGGCUGCGGGCGGUAAAAGACCAAAGAACCCUGGGAGAAAACCAACCAACCAAACCAAACCCCGCGUAGGUCACCCGACCGGGUGAAUGCGGUCGAUCCGGCUGGCGCGGCGGCGGCUCGGGCAUGCAGUCUCACCCCGAGGCAUAUGCGCCUCGCAAGACACAACCCCCAUACAUGCAACGGCCCCCGCCGGGACGGCAAUCCCAGUGCGAGGGCCUGACCAACGAGGAAGCAGACCCUUCCCU